CACAAGGGGUGAAGCCUGCGGUUCAAUUGGAGUCAACGCCGGAAAUCUUACCGGGGGCGACAGCAGAGUGAAGGUCAAGCUGAAGACUUUACCAGACAAGCUGAGAGGAGGUGCAUGGCCGUCGCCAGCUCGUGCCGUGAGGUGUCCUGUUAAGUCAGGUAACGAGCGAGAUCCCUAUCUCUAGUUGCUACUGCUGCUCUCAGGAGUAGUAGAGCUAAUUAGAGGGACCGCCGCCGCUGAGGCGGAGGAAGGAGGGGGCUACNGCAGGUCAGUAUGCCCCGAAACCCUCGGGCCACACGCGGGCUGCAAUGGUAAGGACAAUGGGUUCCUAUUCCGAAAGGAGGAGGCAAUCCCCAAACCUUACCCCAGUUAUGAUUGAGGGCUGAAACUCUGCCCUCWUGAAUAUGGAAUCCCUAGUAACCGCGUGUCAUUAUCGCGCGGUGAAUACGUCCCUGCUCC
rnacentral:rRNA from 1 species